rnacentral:rRNA from 1 species
AUGACCUUCAUUCCUCUCACAUGUACACUAUCAAUCACGUAUUCAAGUAUAUAUAGUAAGCAACAAAAUGGAUUCUUGAAUUCAAAAAGGAAAGGCAACGAACGACAGCACCGCCAUCGGCGAGAGAAAGAGGGGAGUAUCCAUUCAUCCAUUCACACCAUAAAGAUGAGAAAGCGACGCGAUCCUUCUUCUUCCCCAGCAAGAAAGAAAAGCCCCACUUUAGAAGCCGGCCAUCUCCCGAGGACCCAUCCGCGAAACCGCGCCAAACCCAAUCCCAGCCGUCCACCUGCCAACCCCGCGCAGAUCCGACGGCCCGGGCGGACGGAGUCCCAGCGGCCGGGAGGGGCAAACCGGUACUUCCCCACCGGUGGCUCCGCCCACCCCCCUUUAUCUCCCCCUCCCCCACCUCCCGGUCCUCGUCCCUGGUGA